AUAAAUAUCAUCUAUAUAGUUUAACAAUAGAAAUAAACAAGGAAUUACCAAAUGAAUCAAGCUAAAGUAUAUUUUUGUAACAAAUUGACGUAACUCUCCUGAAGAUGCUAUGUAAAUAUAGCGAAACCGGUUGA